rnacentral:tRNA from 1 species
GGGUAUAUAGCUCAGUGGUAGAGCGCACGCUUAGCAGGCAUGAGGUCCUGGGUUCAAUCCCCAGUACUUCCA